GGCUGGGGUUCGUCCCAGGUACUUGCAGGGGAGCAGCAGUAGCAGCAGCAAAUGGCUGUCCUUGGGGAGGGCCGCGGCGCCGUCGUCCGAUGGGAGCCCUGCCCACCGGCCUCCCUUCCUCCCAGAGCAGAACAAAGACUAUCCGGUGGAUUCAGUGGUGUCCAGAGAGCUACUUUCGAAAGCUCAAGGGCAGACAGUCUCCCAAGUCUUGCUCCAAGGAACUGGCCGGUGCACAAGCUUCAGAGAACUAAGUAUUUCAUUUUAUAGUGUGAAUUCAUUUUCAAUGACCAUCAAGACAUUAAAGGACUAAGAUAUCAGAAAAGCAAAGAGCCAGGAUGUGCAUACGCGACAACGUGCAGGUGGCGUUGAAAAAGAUAACGUGAGGCCACCACUACACCGUAGCUUAAAAAGGAGAAACAAGACUGGAGGAGACAGUCCUCUGAAAAAUGUCUCGUACUUGAGAGGUGAUGGAAGAUAAACCAACCCAAAAUAAAACGGAGGGACGAAGGAUCUACAGCGGGAGCUCUCACCCAGUAGGUCGCGGUUCUACGACGGUGGGCGCAGGAUGGUGGCCAAGAGCAAGUAUGGAAUGUGCACCCAGAAGGAGUGACAAGGACAGCGACUCAACGAUCCACUUGGAAGGAGUCAGUGACAACGAAAAAGUAAGCUCUCUAUCCCUCUACAGAGACUGGUCUGUGUGGAUCAUCAUGAUGCUUCCCCGCAGAUAAGAGGCAGAUGAAUGACUGAUUUGAGCCAUUCAAGGCUUGGUUUGCAGGGUUUUGAAUCCCAGCUAAUACCUAUCACCAGCUACGGAAACUGAUCCCAACCCUUAACCCCGGUCUCCCCAUUGAUAAAUUGGAACUGAUGGCACUUGAGUCAUUCAAUGAGAUGAUAUUAAGUGCCUGGCAUUUCGUAGACACUCAAAUGUUUUUCCUUCUCCUAUACUUGACCGAAUUUAAUAUUAACACGGCACACACGAAAAAAUUAAUUCAGAUAAAAAUGAAGGAUUGGUCAUUAUUUUUCUUUUUUCUUAAUGCAUUGGUGGAUGAACCGGGAAUGUACAAAAAGAUAGACAUCUUUGAUGUCCUAUCCUUAAAGUACUAAAAAUUCAAAAUAAAGUCCCUUAAUGUGCUGUUUUCAAAAUCUGAAUAAAAUCAUACCAUCUACUAAUAUGACUAUUUGUGAAAAGCUUAUUUUAAAAAUACAAUGCCUAUCAUUAUACAUAUGCAGUAUACUUAAAAUUAGAACAUAUACUUUUCACCAACUGCCUAUUUCUCAUAUUUAAGAGUCUAAACUUAAAACUUUAACUUUUCUAAACUUUGAAAUGAGACUUCACAAAAUAAAAUGGGAAAAAAAUAAAAAUAAAAUGGAAAACAAAAGGUACUAGAGUUCCCUUUUGUUAGAUUUUCCUGAAUAGAAACCACACUAAACAAAAUAUUUUAAUAAGAAAAUUCCUUAUUAAUUCAAAGCAAUUGAACUCAAGCUUACUCUUCUAGAACCGAAAUUUGAAAUUUUAGAAUAUUUUAUAAGAACAUUUUUGUACACAAAAGUUCACAUAUACUAAUUUGAACAAAUACGUUAUUGCCUAGAAUAAGAAUUGUUGAACCUGCUUUAAAGAAAAAAUGAUUAACUUAAAAUUAACACAUUGUGAAUAUACAAAUAAUAUGCUAAACCCAUUAUAGAAAACUUGAACUACUUUUACAUAAGUAGGUUAAACAUUCUUCCUGCAACUUACUGAUAUUUUUAAAUUGCUCAAAUAGCUUUUCCUAAAGAUAAAUUCUAUCCCAAUUUAUAUUCCAAUUAUAAAGUUAAACCGUGUGGUUUUAUUAUACUUUCUAAAUGUUACACAUUUCUGUAAAACACAAUUAAGUGCUGUGUAACCAAACAUUGAGAAUUAUCCUAAAGGACCAUAAGUUUUGAAGACUAGUGUACAAAAAUAAUUGCAUAAUCUUAUCUAUACCUAAAAAUUUAGUUUCUCUUCUGUCGCAUGUAAUUAUUUUUCAUGUCGCCCUCACUCUGAUUGGCUCAUAAUUUGCGUUUGUUCAAUUUAUUGUAAUGUGAAUUCCUUCAGGCCUUUUUCUGCUCUUCUUCCCUUUCCCUUCAUUUUGUGAAAUAAAAUGUGCUCAAUAAAUAUUUGCUUAAUUAAAUUGAAUUUUGUCCUAUAUAAUUAGCAGUGUCAAAUGAUAAUAAUCCAGCUAUGACCUCUGACAAAGGAAGAAAAAAAAGCCAAGUGUAGGAAUCUUAAUUUCU